rnacentral:rRNA from 1 species
GGAGUUUGGGCCGUGUCUCAGUCCCAAUGUGGCCGUUCACCCUCUCAGGCCGGCUACUGGUCGUCGCUUUGGUGGGCCGUUACCCCGCCAACUGGCUAAUCAGACGCGGAUCCAUCUCGCACCGAUAAAUCUUUUACCUCUGUCCCAUGCGGGACCGUGGUCUUAUGCGGUAUUACCAGCCGUUUCCAGCUGCUAUCCCCCUGUGCGAGGCAGGUUAUCCACGCGUUACUCACCCGUCCGCCACUAAGUUAAAGUUCCAUCCGAAAAUUUCGCUUUAACCCCGUUCGACUUGCAUGUGUUAGGCACGCCGCCAGCGUUGUCCUGAGCCAGGAUCAAACUACU